CGAACCCGAGUGGGUGUUGCGUGGGGGGGCAGCGAUGCGUGACGCCCAGGCAGACGUGCCCUCGGCCAGAAGGCUCCGGGCGCAACUUGCGUUCAAAGACUCGGUGGUUCGCGGGAUCCUGCAAUUCACACCAAGUAUCGCAUUUCGCUACGUUCUUCAUCGAUGCGAGAGCCGAGAUAUCCGUUGCCGAAAGUCGUUGUGAAUAAUACGACAAGAAUGCUCCGCUCCCCGCACGCCGAGUCGGGGCGGGGGGCGGGAUAAUUCGUUUGAGUUCCUUGGCGCGACCUGCGCCGGGGUUUGGUUUAGGCACCGAGAGGGGGGGCAAGCAAGAAGAUGCAUCCCCUCCGGCACAGAAGGUUUGUAAACGCGUUCGCGGGUCGUUUGAUGUUUAGGCAUCGACAAUGAUCCUUCCGCAGGUUCACCUACGGAAACCUUGUUACGACUUCUCCUUCCUCUAAAUGAUAAGGUUCAGUGGACUUCUCGC
rnacentral:misc_RNA from 1 species